AUUGAACGCUGGCGGCAGGCUUAACACAUGCAAGUUGAACGGUAACAGGGUGCUUGCACCGCUGACGAGUGGCGAACGGGUGAGUAAUGCGUCGGAACGUGCCGAGUAGUGGGGGAUAACGCAGCGAAAGUUGUGCUAAUACCGCAUACGUACUGAGGUAGAAAGUGGGGGACCUUCGGGCCUCACGCUAUUCGAGCGGCCGACGUCUGAUUAGCUAGUAGGUGAGGUAAAGGCUCACCUAGGCGACGAUCAGGAGCGGGUCUGAGAGGAUGAUCCGCCACACUGGGACUGAGACACGGCCCAGACUCCUACGGGAGGCAGCAGUGGGGAAUUUUGGACAAUGGGCGAAAGCCUGAUCCAGCCAUGCCGCGUGUCUGAAGAAGGCCUUCGGGGUGUAAAGGACUUUUGUCAGGGAGGAAAUCCCUAGUGCUAAUAACACUGGGGGAUGACAGUACCUGAAGAAUAAGCACCGGCUAACUACGUGCCAGCCGCCGCGGUAA
rnacentral:rRNA from 1 species